GAAAUGCCCGCUUUUGAGGGACCUCAUGGCUGCCUCGUCUGCCUGGUGUCUGUCCUGCUGCUCCGUCCUUUUUUCUGUCUGGUCUUUGACCUCCCUUCGAAAUAAGAAAACCCUUUUUUGUGUUAUUUAUUUCUACAAUCACAGGGCGGCUUAGGGUAUAAAAACACCAAAAAAUAACAUCAACAAAAUGGCCCCGCCCAGGUCAUACAUAAUGCUUUCUGACUAUAGAGGAAUCUUUUCCCCUGGUGCCUAAAGAAAUGGAGGUAAAAAUUGGGGUUUGGCUUUUGCUGCCCAACUCUCCCAUGGGACUCUGAGAAGAAUGGAUGGAGGCAGGAUCCAGUGGAAAGCAAGGCAGAUCUUUAUUUUUCUGCUGAAACAGAGUUCCCUCUCUUCCAAGGAGGGAGAGACCCUGAACAAAAGGGUGCAGGAGCCUUUAAAGCCAAAGACCACCCAAAAAUCAUACAUCCACCAUAGGAGGCGAUCUGCAGCAGAAAUCCCAUCGGCCAGGUACUUGAAAACAGCUGCUGUUUGUGUUACCUGGACAGCCUGGCCAUUCUUCUGGAAUGCUUUAUACUUUCCUGAAUUCAGGUCCUAGGCUCACCCUAUCCCUACACAAAUGCCCCCAUAAGAUGGGGUUUGUAAGCAGAAAAGACAACAGGAAGGUUUUCCCCAUUUGCCUCCCUUACUGCAGAGGAAUGUUUGAGGUUGUCGGGAGAGUCAAAAUGCCUUCCAGAUUGCUCUCCCAUACUUUUCCAGACAAGUGGCUUUAUAUGGGACGCGGGUAGUGCUGUGGUCUAAACUACAAAGCCUAGGAAUUGCCGAUCUGAAGGUUGGUGGUUCGAAUCCCCGCAACAGGGUGAGCUCCCGUUGCUCGGUCCCUGCUCCUGUCAACCUAGCAGUUCAAAAGCACGUCAAAGUGCAAGAAGAAGAAGAGGAGUUUGGAUUUGAUAUCCCGCUUUAUCACUACCCGAAGGAGUCUCAAAGCGGCUAACAUUCUCCUUUCCCUUCCGUGCCCACAACAAACACUCUGUGAGGUGAGUGGGGCCGAGAGACUUCAAAGAAGUGUGACUAGCCCAAGGUCACCCAGCAGCUGCAUGUGGAGGAGUGGGGAAGCGAACCCGGUUCACCAGAUUACGAUUCUACCGCUCUUAACCACUACACCACACUGGCUCUCUACACUACACCACACUGCAAGUAGAUAAAUAGGUACCGCUUGGGUAGGAAGGUAAACGGCGUUUCCAUGUGCUGCUCUGGUUCACCAGAAGCGGCUUAGUCAUGCUGGCCACAUGACCCGGAAGCUGUAUGCCUGAUCCCUUGGCCAAAAAAGCGAGAUGAGCGUCGCAACCCCAGAGUCGGCCACGACUGGACCUAAUGGUCAGGGGUCCCUUUACCUUUACCUUUUAUGAAUAUUUAUUCCAUAUUUGAGGCCUUUGAAUUCUUAGAACAAUUGGAGGGAAGGCACCUGGCAAGCCUUGCUGGGGAAAGCAUGCCACGUACUGUGAGCUACUGUGGAAAAGUCCUUGUACUCGUGUUUCUGCUCCCGUGGAGAAAGCCAUUGAGGAUCAGAAUCUGAGUAAAUUGCCCAUUUAUGUAAAGAGUCCUCACAGCUGUGGGGGUGCGAUAUCGAUGAUGCUGGGAAUGCCUUUGGAAGGGGGGUGCCCCUGCCAACUAGUGGGGUACAUUUUUUAGGAAGAGGGCUAAUAUCAGAGCUCUUGGGGUUAGGAGCUGUGUUUGUGGUGGAUGUCACAACGAAAAGGACAAUAUUUUAUUAGAUUUGUAUACCGCCCUGUGCCCGUAGAUCUCAGAGUUUGCAUUCUGGUUUGAAUCUAGAUUGGUUUCCUCCUUUAGAACUUGGACAGAUGGCACUGUAAUUUUUUUAAAAAACAUCUUGUUUUUAAACACUGGCCUCAAGUAUCAGCCGUGUACAGCAACAGGCAUGAUUCAUUAUAUUACUUCAGUGCCAAUUUGUUAGUCAAAUCCUCCAUCCACUGUGGAUUUUGAGACAUAAGAAACACGGCUGUUAAAUGAAAAUUAAAUUGUUCUGAUGGCAUCGGGUGCAAAAAUAAAUAAAUAAUCAAAUGAUUUGUUAGAUAUUUUGUUAAUCAAAUUUAGUCAUCAUGCAUUAAGGAAGGACAAAAGUACAAAGGAGAUUCAAACAACAGAAUUUACACACGUCUUCCAAAAGAGUAUAAUUCACUAAUAAAAACAUAAACUGUGCAAAACAGAUACAAACGUAAAAAUGAUGUCAAUAACCAUUCUCUUCCUUUGACAAUAAAAGCAAAUGUAAUUUCAAAUAAUAUGUUGAGAAACAUGUCAAAGAUUAGCUUUUCUUUUUCAAUAAAAAACAGCGAAUGAGAAUUAUUGGCAGCUCUAUAAUAUAUUGUUGCAGUACGUCUAAGCAACAUUUGCCAGUCAAAAACCUCAUAAUCAGUGACAUUCAAUACUUAUCUAGGUUAUGCUUCUAUUCUACUUAGUGUAUGUGUGGGGUUUUGUGUCAGUAUCACUUAUGUGGGUUCUCUUACUUUUUGCUUGUUGUGUUUCCUUGGUGGUGAGACAGGUUGGGGGUGACCUAGGGUGUGGUUGGUUGUCUUUGGUAGGCUGGAGUGAGGUGUGUGUGUGUGUGCGCGCGCGCACGGUGUGUGUGUAGAUUUUUGGAUCAAGUUAGCCAGAUUGAUUCAUAUGCUUGUUGUCUUGUUGGGCUAUGUAUGUGAUAAAGGGGAACCAUACCAGGGUGAAGGCAUCUUCUAUUUGUCCCCACAUCCGUUUCAGUUUAUUGGUUAGUAUUUCUAAUAAGGCUAUUUCCCAUUCUAUUUGAUACCAUUGGUCCAUGCUUACUACUGACAGGUCUCUCCAGUGUCUGGUUAUGAUGCCUCUGGCUACUGAGAGUAGGUGGGUUAUAAGCUCUUUAUAAUGUAAGUGGGCAUUAUUACCUUGGAAGAUGGUCAGUGGGACCAGUUCUAAUACUUGCUUAGUUAUUUUUGCAUAUAACUGAUGUCCAGAAGAGUUGGAUUUGGGAACAUUACCACCACAUGUGGAAGUAUGUGCCUGUGGAGGUGCAUCCUCUCCAGCCUUUUGGUGAGGCUCCUGGGCAUAUCAGCGCCAGUUUCUGUGGUGUUAGGUACAAUCUGUAAAUGAGUUUCAGAGUCAGUUCUUUUAUUUUGCUUAGAUGAAUUUAAAGGGAGGUUUAGACCACAUUCUAUUCCAUUGGGUGGGGUUAAUCUCAUAGACUAUGUCGUCUUCCCAUUGUUUUUUGAUUACAUCGAGGGGGUUUGUAGGAUUUUGGAGGAGUAUUUUUUAUAUUGUGGAUACCAUCCCCUUGACAUCCGAUUCACUCGAAAGCAGUGCAAACACCGGCAAAUGGUCCUCUGCAACUUUUGGUGGUGAAAACCCCACAUUUCACAGCACCCCAUAAAAUGAACCUUUGGUUCACUCACCCGCAGGGUCACAGUUUCGCCGCAAAACCCUACCCUUCUCUUUGGCCAGUCAAUCAGAGCCAAGGAAUUGGACUGCAUUUUCUGAAGAAGGCUGGUGUUUCUAGGGUUACCAUAUACUUGUCAGCUGCAUCAUGAAAUUCUGGUGCAUCAGUUCCCAUACAUUGGCAAUGAGAAUUCAUGCUGAACAGGUCCUCCCUGUUUCAAAGGGUGCAGAGUGUGGUUGCAUAACUACAUCGUGUUCUUUUUGGCAUACAAUGAAAACUUUUUUAUUUUCUCAGGCUUUUAAAACAGAUGCUUUUACUACACUUUAGGUAGUUGGCACAAAUCACUUCCCAUCCAACCCCCUUGCUGGUUUUUAGAGCCCAUAUAGACAGUAUACUGCCUUGGGCUGGGUUUUAUCCUGAUUUUCAUCUUAUAUUGUACCAAUACAGUUUUAAUAAUAUAUAAACCAGGCAACAAUAUUUCAAGACACACAACAGCCCCUCUCACGGCCCACUAAUUCCGCACUAGACCAUUCGUGUCUUUCUUGUCAUGCUUUCCUAUACAUUCUUUCUGACGCAAUCUCAAAGGUGCAAAUAGUAAUUGCAUUAAAGGUAAAGGUACCCCUGCCCGUACGGGCCAGUUGUGUCCAACUCUAGGGUUGUGCGCCCAUCUCACUUAAGAGGCCGGGGGCCAGCGCUGUCCGGAGACACUUCCGGGUCACGUGGCCAGCGUGACAAAGCUGGUCUGGCGAGCCGGCACCAGCGCAGCACACGGAAAUGCCGUUUACCUUCCCGCUAUAAAGCGGUACCUAUUUAUCUACUUGCACUUAAGCGUGCUUUCGAACUCCUAGGUGGGCAGGAGCUGGGACCGAAAGACGGGAGCUCACCCCGCCGCGGGGAUUCGAACCGCCGACCAUGCGAUCGGCAAGCCCUAGGCACUGAGGUUUUACCCACAGCGCCACCCGCGUCCCUUAAUUGCAUUACUUGUUGGUUAAUGUUGACAACCAAUAUAUUAAUAAUAAAUUAAUGGUUGUUAAGUCAUCUAUAAAGUAUUUCAAGAAGCAAGAGCUAUGCAGCGACUGGAAAUAAAAGGACAAAUCCCCUUUUUAAAAGGAUGAGACCCCCUUUUUAAAAAGACAAAACACAGGCUUGCAAUUUAAAAGGACAAGGCCAUAAGGAAAAAGGGAAAGAAAAGUAGGGGAUGAGAUUAAAGGUCACAGUCUUCAGGAGAAAAGGUGUUUUCAAAUACCGUUUACACAGUUGCAAAAAGGGUGAAGUGCAGAUGUUAGGAGAUGGUGAAGCCGCAGAGAAAAGUGGCUUUAUCUUAUAUCGCAUCCAUUCACUAUGUUUGAUCCAAUUUGGGAAGGGCUGUAGCUCAGUGGUAGAUGCUUUCUUCAAUCCCCAUCAUCUCCAGAUAGGCUUGUCUGAAAUCCUGCCAAUUAGUGUAAAGUGGGGAUGGGGAACACUUUUGACCCUGGAGGCCAGUUCUUUAUCUCCCCUCACCCUACAAAUCAACUUUCCCUCGCACUCCUUCCGCUGCUGACAAUUGUAAAAGUGACAAUGGAAAAAACUGGCAAUUGUAAAAUUGCAAAAUUGCUGACAAUUGUAAAAAUCUGCUGCAGCGCUGCAUGUUCCUUCUGUGUCCCCCCUCUCUUCUGUUCCUUAACACAAAAUGCUUACGCUCAACCUGUCUUGAAAUGGCUUUCACCAAGUAAUUUAUACGUUCCUUGCAAAUUACAUAGCACAGAUUAGGGAAGAAAGGGCACUAUGUCCUCAUGUAGGUUUGCCAACCUACAGUUUUGUUCAUUCAAAAUUGCUUCCACAGCUGUCCAAAGAAGUAUGAAUGCAGAGACCCAACACAUUGCCCAUAUUUCCCUAGUAAUGAUUGUUCUCCGGAAUUCCACCUAGGAGCAUUUAUUUCCCAAGGCAGUGCUUUUUAAAAAUAGUGAACCCGAUCUACCAGACGUGACACAAGCCUACACUGAGGAAUGGAAAAGAGUACAUAUGACCAAGGAUGCUAGUCAAGCUGAUGGGUACCAUGGCCAUGAGGGGUUUACAAAUAAAUGUUAAUAAAAUGUCUAGGAAUGCUUUGGCUCUACAAAACACACACACAAAAAUACUGUAUAUAAAAUAUAUAAAUAUCUACAAAAUGGAAAUGUGUUUUUCUUGUAUUUCCUUGGGCCACGAGAGGGAGCCCAAGUGUAGUCAGAAAAAAAGGCGCAGGGGUUCAGCGUGCCAAGGAAAAGUGCAUUAACAUUAUGUAGGCGUCCAGGAAUUCAGUGUCAGCUUAAAUGCACGCCCAGAUUGUAAUACAUAGAGAGUUUAAUUGAAAUCAUACCAAAUGUAUAUGCAUUGCUUCUCCAGCAGGCCAACCAGAAAAGCAGAAUGAAGAGUCAUUUUUCUUUCAAUGAGUGGUUUCACACCCAUUUGUUUCCUUGAUGCUUUCUCAAGCAAGGAUGUGCAAAGGUUUGCAAGGCAUGACACUAUUUAUGAAAUGGCAUCUGAAAUGAAGUUACAAUACUCAUAUCAUUUUUCUUCCAAUCUUGCUUUUCCACUCUUCUUAUUUUCACAAAAUUGAUCAUGGCUGAUAAAUCUAAAAACUACAGUGGUACCUCGCAAGAGGAAUGCCUCGCAAGACGGAAAACUCGCAAAACGAAAGGGUUUUUGGUUUUUUGAGUUGCUUCGCAAGACAAUUUUCCCUAUGGGCUUGCUUUGCAAGACGGAAACGUCUUGCAAGUUUGUUUCCUUUUUCUUAAAACCGUUAAUACAGUUGCGACUUGACUUCGAGGAGCAAUUCAUAGCACGCGGUGUGGUAGCCUUUUUUGAGGUUUUUGAGGACUUUGGUGAUUUUUGAAACUUUCCCAAAGCUUUUCCAACACCGUGCUUCGCAAGAUGAAAAAACCGCAAGACGAAAAAACUCGCGGAACGAAUUAAUUUCGUCUUGCGAGGCACCACUGUACUUCAGUUGUUAUUAUCUCUAGACAUGGACAUUUUGUAAAGAGCAAUGCCAUUCGAUAGCAAAUUUGGAACAUGUCACCAAAUACUUUCCAACAAACGCUAGCUCCAUAAAUAGCACGGGGCGUCUUGGGCAAAUAGUUCCUCUAUUGUUGUACAGCAUAUUGUUUUAACAUUUCCCCCCAUUGAUGUAAAGUACAUUGUUCAUUAGGAAGUUCUCCUGCACAAGUCCAUCUGAAAGGGAGCUGUGCAAGAACAGUGUGUUCUUCUUACAAAGGAGCACUUUUAUGCAAUUCCCUUUUGCCUUAGCAUUGCUUGGAGACAAGUUCCCGGUGGAUUGUAUCCUUAAAGUUUGACAUUCUCAUUAUUCAACACUACCCAGUUUCAGAUUUUGUAACACAUGCUAACUACAGGCAUAUAUUAAUGUAUUAUAUUGGUAUGUCAGGUAUGCCAAACGAUUCACGGAAGCCAGCAAAACAGAAUUGUGUGACAACAAUGAAUUUGCCCAGAGUGCUCAGCUCAUUAGUGUAUCCACAAUACUAUGCAGCAUACAAAUCAAACUUUUCUUCCUUUUAGUACUCAGCUACUUAUUUGCAUUGUACUUCUAUUAUUGCAUUUCAGAUAAUCCUGAAACAAUUUAUCCAGCUAAAGUGCUGGUCAUUGACUGUAGCUAUAAAGACUUCAGUUUAAGAGCAACCUUCUAGCAAACCUUCGGCAUUAGAUCCAUUUCAGUCCGGUUUCCGUCCUGGUUUUGGGAUGGAGACAGCUCUGGUCGCCCUAACAGAUGAUCUCCGUAGACAACUGGAUCGAGGCGGGUCAGGACUGCUGAUCCUUUUAGAUUUGUCAGCAGCCUUUGUCAUGGUCGAUCAUGAUCUUCUGGACCACCGCCUCGCAGACGUGGGGAUACAGGGCAUAGCCCGUAACUGGUUGUGCUCUUUUAUCUCUGGUCGGGGACAGAGGGUGGCACUAGGGAGGGAAAUGUCAUCGCGCCACUCCUUGGUGUGUGGAGUGCCGCAGGGCGCAAUUCUUUUAACAUCUUUAUGCGCCCCCUUGCCCAGAUUAUCCGGAGCUUUGGGCUGGGCUGUCACCAAUAUGCUGAUGACACUCAGCUCUAUCUGCUGAUGGAUGGCCACACCGACUUGGCCCCGAACACACUGACCAGAUGCUUGGAAGCUGUGGCUGGAUGGUUUUGUGGGAGCCGAUUGAAACUAAAUCCUUCGAAGACAGAGGUCCUAUGGCUAGGUCGGGAUGGCAUGGGGAUGAGGGACCAACUCCCUUCUCUUGCGGGGGCCCAAUUAGUGCCAUUGCCUUCCGUUAAGAGUUUGGGUGUAAUCCUUGACGCCUCCCUUUCCAUGGAGGCGCAAGUUACAGCAACAGCCAAGGCGACAUUUUUCCACCUUUGCCGCAUCAAGCAGUUGGUCCCUUACCUUUCCCGCCCCGACCUGGCCACAGUGAUCCAUGCAACGGUCAUCUCCAGGCUUGACUACUGUAAUUCGCUCUACACGGGGCUGCCCUUGAAGCUGUCCCAGAAACUCCAGCGGGUACAGAAUGCUGCAGCGAGGCUCCUCACGGGGUCUCUGCCAUGGGAGCAUAUUCACCCAGUGCUUUUCAAGCUGCACUGGCUCCCGGUGGAGUACAGGGUCAGAUUUAAGGUGCUGCUUUUGCCCUUUAAAGCCCUUCACGGCCUAGGACCCUCGUACCUACGGGACUGCCUCUCCCGGUAUGCCCCACAGAGAGCCUCAAGGUCCAUAAAUAACAACACCCUAGUGGUCCCAGGCCCUAAGGAAGUUAGAUUGGCUUCAACCAGAGCCAGGGCCUUUUCAACUCUGGCUCCGGCCUGGUGGAAUGCUCUGCCUCAUGAGACCAGGGCCCUGCAGGAUCUGAUUUCUUUCUGCAGGGCCUGUAAGACAGAGUUGUUCCGCCUGGCCUUUGGCUUGGAGCCAAUUUGAUUCCCUCCCUCCCUCUCUUUCUUUUUUUUUUUCCUUCUCCUCCUGCGAUGAGGCUACAUUUUAAUAUUUUAAUGUUCCAUUAUUUUAAUGUUGUAUUUUAUUUUUGUUUUUAAGUUGUAAUCAUUCAUCUUGUUUUUAUUAUUGCAUGUAAGCCGCUCUGAGCCCGGCCUUGGCUGGGGAGGGCGGGGUAUAAAUAAAAAUUAUUAUUAUUAUUAUUAUUAUUAUUAUUAUUAGCAAAUGAGUCUGCCCAGAUGUGAUGAUCUUCGUCAGAGACUCUCUUCUGAGGUUAGGGCAGUGAUCAUCAAGAGGACCUCUCCGGUUGUGGUACCUGGCAUGUGAAAUGCCCUCUGUCAAGCAGCUUACCUGCUGCCCAUUCUGAAGUCUCUGUGGCACUCAGUGAAGUGUUUUUUUUUAUUUUUCCAGGCAGUUUCAUCUGAUUGAAGAGAAGAAGAAGAAGAGUUUGGAUUUGAUAUUCCGCCUUUCACUCCCUUUAAGGAGUCUCAAAGCGGCUAACAUUCUCCUUUCCCUUUCUCCCCCACAAUAAACACUCUGUGAGGUGAGUGAGGCUGAGAGACUUCAGAGAAGUGUGACUGGCCCAAGGUCACCCAGCAGCUGCAUGUGGAGGAGCGGAGACGCGAACCCGGUUCCCCAGAUUACGAGACUAUCGCUCUUAACCACUACACCACACUGGCUGGUUUUAACAGGUGUUUUAUGGUUUAGUCAACUCACUGUUUUUUUUCCAUGCUUCCCCCCUUUUAAUUGCACACUCCCCUGGAAGCAUAUUCUGAUGGGCAGCACAUUACCCCUCCACCCCAAAAUAAAGGAUAUUAUUGUGUCCUUGAAAAUAGUGCUAAGAAUUCUCCGAGAGGGUAAGAGCAGAGUUAAUCUCACACAGCUGUCUCUCGAAAUAAAAUGGCUAAUUGUCCAACGCAAGCUAUGACCUAGGGAAAUAAUGAGUAAGAAAAAUCUGAUUUGAAACGUGGCAUCAAUCAGGGCCUCAGAUUUUGCUGCCAACGAUGUACUUAGGGGUCUUCGAGUAAUCUUUUCCCUACGCAGCUGAAAAGGCUAUUGUCUCUCAUGCCUUAACCAGAAUAUCGCUCCCUUGAUCGCUGAACUUUUGCCUGAGUGCCUCUCUCUUUCGUAAUGAAACGGGGCCACCCAAAUAUGAGGCAAUUGUUUCUAUACUCCCUGGAGAAAUCCCUAGCUGUGCCGAAGUACAGAAGUCUGCAAAUUAAAAGGGAGUGGGGAAAAGAACCCUUUUGUUGUUGUUGUUGUUCAAGACACACACACACACACACACACACACACACACACACUGCCUGACAAGAACAUAGUUUACAGAAGCCUGAUGGCAACUGAGCCAAGCUCAAGGGCUGUGUUCCUUGUUGACUAGUCCACGGACAAAAUAAAAGUACAUAGCCACCCGACACUCUCCUGUGUGCAUAAAAGGCCUUUGCACACACAACUGGGCACCAGCGUUCCAGAUUCUCCCUCCGACCCACCUACCCCAGCUGAUAUACAUCCUCCCGAUGGAAACAUGCAGAUGGGGACAGGUAGGUUUCUAUGGAUAUUUUCUGUAAUAGUGGAACUGGGGGUAUUAACUAUGCAUGUGUGAAUAGUUAUUGUCUCACCUUUAUUCUUAUAGAUAUAUCCCUGCUUUAAGCCAUUUACAUACUGUCUUCUCCUGUCUAUCAUUUACUACAAAGGUUUGCCUUAAUUAUGCAUUCUCAACUUAUUUUUAAUUUUAAUUUUUCCUUAUUCUACUUGUUAAUUCAGUGAAUUCUGUUACAAUUGAUUUUGACAGCUCGAUGACUUAAGUUUUUUAGUGACGAAAUGUCGGAUUACCGCAACAGCGUCCAAGCACUGAACUGCUGGUAUAUCACAAGCGGACUCUUUAUUACUGUGAUAAAAUCUAUUUUGGAAGGAGAAGAAAUGAGCACCGAACCACUGAUACAUUACAAGUGAAUUCUUCAUUUACUGCGUUCGCUAUUGUUUAGGAGAAAACCAAUUUGGUAAAGAAACUACUUUUGCCAUUUUUAUGGAUGUUUAUUGUUUGUUUACAGAUAGUUGCCUUGGUGAUAUUAUCUUGUGUUGAUUGCAGUAAUCAAUUGUAUCUCUACCCUGUUCAUUGUUUUAUAACUAACCCAGUGGCAGAAGGGAAGUCAAACCCGUGUGAACUGCAGUGGCAGCAAAAACACAUGGUCACUAACAAAGCUGUUCCCACCCACUCUUCCUUCUUCAGCUCUGUCUUUUCUCCUCUCAGGGUUUUCUGGAGCACCCGACCAUCAUCCCUGGUGCUUGUGAAUUUCUGGAGGAGAACAGAGGAUGUGGGCAGAGAUCUCCAGUCUGCUCUGGUGUUCAUCCAAUGCUUUCUCAACGCUCCAGAUGCACUCCAAGUCAAGAGGGCAAAUAAUACCUGAAGCUGCUCCUGGUCCCUACCAUCACAGCUGGACUCUGCUUGGUUCCUCUCUGAUUAUUUUUUUUAAGUGAUGCUGCCCGUCAAGGGUGCUUUCAAGCCAACACAAUGUACGCAGCAUAUAGUUCACUCUUUAUCGUCAAACAUAACUCACAGUCGCUUCUACAGCUCUGGAUAUCUACGCAUGCCAAUCUAGCAUCUAGGCAGCUAUUCCCAGGCCUGCGUUUUCUGGAGCAGUUGCAGCAACAGUGACCAAUCCUCCGCGAGUUCAUGUACCUUCCCCAAUGAGCUGUGUGCACACAGUUGGAGACUGCGCCCGCGUGGCAAUGUCCUCUGCACCUCCCUUUUCAGUCCCCUCCUGGUUCUGGGAGAAAGUGGUACAGGAAAAGGUGUGGAAGCACUUGCCCGACCUGCCUCAUUCUCCUCUUCUUCCCACCCAUCCUAUGCUGCACCUUCCUGCUCUGAAGCUUCCCCCGCCUCCAACUCUUGACUCCUGGCUGAAACAGUUCCCCGCAAAUCACUGACCCUCUUUCCCGAGUUAGACUCCACUGCUGCAAAAUAUGGUGGGAGGUUGAUGGGGUGUUAGGAUAGGCUUUGUGGGCCGGUUUUGGCCCAUGGGUUCACCACCCCAGAUUUAAAGCAGAGAUAGGGAAUCUGUGGUCUUCUAGGUAUUGAUAGACUACCACCACCCUCAUGUUAGACUACUUGCUAUGCUGGCUGGGGCUGAUGGGCACUGAAGUCCAACAUUUGGAGUGGUACAAACUCCACCUCCUAGUGUAUACUCUUUUUAUUACUCUGAUUUUCAUUAUCUUGUGGUGUCCUUUCCAAUACAGUGGUACCUCGCAAGACGAAUGCCUCGCAAGACGGAAAACUCGCAAAACGAAAGGGUUUUUGGUUUUUUGAGCUGCUUCGCAAGACGAUUUUCCCUAUGGGCUUGCUUCGCAAGACGGAAACGUCUUGCAAGUUUGUUUCCUUUUUCUUAAAACCGUUAAUACAGUUGCGACUUGACUUCGAGGAGCAACUCAUAGCACGCGGUGAGGUAGCCUUUUUUGAGGUUUUUGAAGACUUUGGUGAUUUUUGAAGCUUUUCCAAAACUUUUCCGACACCGUGCUUCGCAAGAUGAAAAAAACCGCAAGACGAAAAAGCUCGCGGAACGAAUUAAUUUCGUCUUGCGAGGCACCACUGUAAUGCCAAAUGUUAGUUUGGCAAUGUCUAUUUUCCUUUAGAAAGCUCAAAAAAGAAACAUGGAAGAUGGAAUAGAAAUUACUUGAUCAAGGCCCUGAAAGCUUAUCAGUGGCAGCCAGGGGUGCGAAUGUGUGUCAUGAGAUUAAAAUCUCUUCCUAUGCGCUAUACAGGGAUGUUGCAGUUCUAGAACUAGACCCCCGCCCUUUCUCCACGACGUAACUCUAUUAUGUUCCAAUUUAAAGCCAAUGACCAUGUAAUGCUAUAGAGCAAAGGAGAUGGUACUGAAGGGGGGAAGUGCCCUUUGUCCUUUCCCCAUUCUUCAAAUUCCCAAUUCUGAAAAGAAGCAUUCCUCUUAAGGGGUGGAGAUACACUGCAACAUUGUGUUGCUGGUCCCACUUGUUUUCCUAUAUUUCUUACACAUUUCAGAACAUGAUACUACAUGCAGUAGCAGUUAAUGUUCUAGCACAGUUUGGGCGUGUGCAGAACGAACAGGUUUAGUAUGACUUUCUGGUUAGAAAUACAUAUUGUUGGGAGUCAUUUUAGUUAAACCCAAUACCUUAGCAAGGUAGUAAUAAUGUUCUUUGCCAGAGUAUCUAGUCAGCUCAGAAAUUGACUCAAGAUUUUAUAUCUUGUGCCUACAGCAAACAGAUUUUAAAUCAUACCACAAUCCUGAUUUUAAAAGAUAUGCUUGAUAGCGUCUUAAUAAAUGGUAGAAAAAGCACAGAAGUGAAACAGCAUUUUGACUAGACUUUUUAAAAAUACUGCAAAUGUAUUCUCCUGCAACAUUAUUUUGCCAUGUUUAUGUGUUUAUAGCAAAUGUGAAAUAGGUAAGAUGUUCAGGCUAAUGAACAUACAUUUACUGGUCUCUAGCUCCCUGAACAAGUUCAGCAUAAUGUGUAAAAGCACUUACAAUCUAAUCAUACAGGCAUAGGCUCUCUCCGAAUAAGAGCCUUUGCAUAUUUCAAGAGUCCAGGAUAGUGUGGACGGUCUAUGGAUAAACAUUAUGUUGAAUGCAUUUAGGAUGGGGCUUAUGCUUAUUGGAUUCCAAACAAUCUGUUUGGGCUGAAGAUCACCCAAAUAGCCAAUAGUUACAUACAUUGUUUUGUGUGGCAAACCGCUUUGUGGCAUUUUUUGCAAAGGACAGUUUAUACAUUUCUUAAUAAAUAAAAAAAUAUUCUGUGAAUCUGACAUUU